GACAGAGGGUGCAAACGUUGUUCGGAAUUACUGGGCGUAAAGCGUGUGUAGGCGGCUUUGCAAGUCGGAUGUGAAAGCCCCGGGCUCAACCCGGGAAGUGCACUCGAUACUGCAGAGCUUGAGUGUGGGAGAGGUUGGUGGAAUUCUCGGUGUAGAGGUGAAAUUCGUAGAUAUCGGGAGGAACACCAGUGGCGAAGGCGGCUCACUGGACAGGUCCUGACACUGAGACGCGAAAGCGUGGGUAGCAAACAGG
rnacentral:rRNA from 1 species